rnacentral:rRNA from 1 species
UACAGAGGCCUCAAGCGUUGUUCGGAUUCAUUGGGCGUAAAGGGAGCGUAGGCGGUCGGGUAAGUCGGAUGUGAAACCCUGGGGCUCAACCUCAGAACUGCAUUCGAUACUGCUUGGCUAGAGGAUUGGGAGAGGAGAGUGGAAUUCACGGUGUAGCAGUGAAAUGCGUAGAGAUCGUGAGGAAGACCAACGGCGAAGGCAGCUCUCUGGACAAUUCCUGACGCUGAGGCUC